AGAUACCCUAUUAUUCUAAUCGUUAAAAAAUAAAAUCAGAGUAGUAAUAGUUAUGUUCUUGAAACUCAAAGAAUUUGGCGGUGUUUUAGUCUUGUCAGAGGAACUUGCCCCGUAAUCGAUAAUCCUCGAUUUACUUUACUUAAUUUGGUUAAUAGCUUGUAUACCGCCGUCAACAGGAUAUUCUAGAAAGAAAUGUUCAAGAUUUUAAAUAGUAAAAUAUGUCAGGUCAAGGUGCAGCUAAUGGUUAAGAGGAGGUGAGUUACAAUAUAUUAAUAUACAUGGAUUUGGAAUUGAAAGAUUUUAAUGAAGGUGGAUUUGGGUGUAAUAAAAUUAACAUAAAUUUUAUGAUAUAAAGCUCUAAAACAUGCACACAUCGCCCGUCG
rnacentral:rRNA from 1 species